rnacentral:rRNA from 12 species
UUAAGCGACUAAGCGUACACGGUGGAUGCCCUGGCAGUCAGAGGCGAUGAAGGACGUGCUAAUCUGCGAUAAGCGUCGGUAAGGUGAUAUGAACCGUUAUAACCGGCGAUUUCCGAAUGGGGAAACCCAGUGUGAUUCGUCACACUAUCAUUAACUGAAUCCAUAGGUUAAUGAGGCGAACCGGGGGAACUGAAACAUCUAAGUACCCCGAGGAAAAGAAAUCAACCGAGAUUCCCCCAGUAGCGGCGAGCGAACGGGGAGGAGCCCAGAGCCUGAAUCAGUGUGUGUGUUAGUGGAAGCGUCUGGAAAGGCGCGCGAUACAGGGUGACAGCCCCGUACACAAAAAUGCACAUGCUGUGAGCUCGAUGAGUAGGGCGGGACACGUGGUAUCCUGUCUGAAUAUGGGGGGACCAUCCUCCAAGGCUAAAUACUCCUGACUGACCGAUAGUGAACCAGUACCGUGAGGGAAAGGCGAAAAGAACCCCGGCGAGGGGAGUGAAAAAGAACCUGAAACCGUGUACGUACAAGCAGUGGGAGCCUCUUAAUGGGGUGACUGCGUACCUUUUGUAUAAUGGGUCAGCGACUUAUAUUCUGUAGCAAGGUUAACCGAAUAGGGGAGCCGAAGGGAAACCGAGUCUUAACUGGGCGUUAAGUUGCAGGGUAUAGACCCGAAACCCGGUGAUCUAGCCAUGGGCAGGUUGAAGGUUGGGUAACACUAACUGGAGGACCGAACCGACUAAUGUUGAAAAAUUAGCGGAUGACUUGUGGCUGGGGGUGAAAGGCCAAUCAAACCGGGAGAUAGCUGGUUCUCCCCGAAAGCUAUUUAGGUAGCGCCUCGUGAAUUCAUCUCCGGGGGUAGAGCACUGUUUCGGCAAGGGGGUCAUCCCGACUUACCAACCCGAUGCAAACUGCGAAUACCGGAGAAUGUUAUCACGGGAGACACACGGCGGGUGCUAACGUCCGUCGUGAAGAGGGAAACAACCCAGACCGCCAGCUAAGGUCCCAAAGUCAUGGUUAAGUGGGAAACGAUGUGGGAAGGCCCAGACAGCCAGGAUGUUGGCUUAGAAGCAGCCAUCAUUUAAAGAAAGCGUAAUAGCUCACUGGUCGAGUCGGCCUGCGCGGAAGAUGUAACGGGGCUAAACCAUGCACCGAAGCUGCGGCAGCGACACUAUGUGUUGUUGGGUAGGGGAGCGUUCUGUAAGCCUGUGAAGGUGGCCUGUGAGGGUUGCUGGAGGUAUCAGAAGUGCGAAUGCUGACAUAAGUAACGAUAAAGCGGGUGAAAAGCCCGCUCGCCGGAAGACCAAGGGUUCCUGUCCAACGUUAAUCGGGGCAGGGUGAGUCGACCCCUAAGGCGAGGCCGAAAGGCGUAGUCGAUGGGAAACAGGUUAAUAUUCCUGUACUUGGUGUUACUGCGAAGGGGGGACGGAGAAGGCUAUGUUGGCCGGGCGACGGUUGUCCCGGUUUAAGCGUGUAGGCUGGUUUUCCAGGCAAAUCCGGAAAACCAAGGCUGAGGCGUGAUGACGAGGCACUACGGUGCUGAAGUGACAAAUGCCCUGCUUCCAGGAAAAGCCUCUAAGCAUCAGGUAACAUCAAAUCGUACCCCAAACCGACACAGGUGGUCAGGUAGAGAAUACCAAGGCGCUUGAGAGAACUCGGGUGAAGGAACUAGGCAAAAUGGUGCCGUAACUUCGGGAGAAGGCACGCUGAUAUGUAGGUGAAGCGACUUGCUCGUGGAGCUGAAAUCAGUCGAAGAUACCAGCUGGCUGCAACUGUUUAUUAAAAACACAGCACUGUGCAAACACGAAAGUGGACGUAUACGGUGUGACGCCUGCCCGGUGCCGGAAGGUUAAUUGAUGGGGUUAGCGGUAACGCGAAGCUCUUGAUCGAAGCCCCGGUAAACGGCGGCCGUAACUAUAACGGUCCUAAGGUAGCGAAAUUCCUUGUCGGGUAAGUUCCGACCUGCACGAAUGGCGUAAUGAUGGCCAGGCUGUCUCCACCCGAGACUCAGUGAAAUUGAACUCGCUGUGAAGAUGCAGUGUACCCGCGGCAAGACGGAAAGACCCCGUGAACCUUUACUAUAGCUUGACACUGAACAUUGAGCCUUGAUGUGUAGGAUAGGUGGGAGGCUUUGAAGUGUGGACGCCAGUCUGCAUGGAGCCGACCUUGAAAUACCACCCUUUAAUGUUUGAUGUUCUAACGUUGGCCCCUAAUCGGGGUUGCGGACAGUGUCUGGUGGGUAGUUUGACUGGGGCGGUCUCCUCCUAAAGAGUAACGGAGGAGCACGAAGGUUGGCUAAUCCUGGUCGGACAUCAGGAGGUUAGUGCAAUGGCAUAAGCCAGCUUGACUGCGAGCGUGACGGCGCGAGCAGGUGCGAAAGCAGGUCAUAGUGAUCCGGUGGUUCUGAAUGGAAGGGCCAUCGCUCAACGGAUAAAAGGUACUCCGGGGAUAACAGGCUGAUACCGCCCAAGAGUUCAUAUCGACGGCGGUGUUUGGCACCUCGAUGUCGGCUCAUCACAUCCUGGGGCUGAAGUAGGUCCCAAGGGUAUGGCUGUUCGCCAUUUAAAGUGGUACGCGAGCUGGGUUUAGAACGUCGUGAGACAGUUCGGUCCCUAUCUGCCGUGGGCGCUGGAGAACUGAGGGGGGCUGCUCCUAGUACGAGAGGACCGGAGUGGACGUAUCACUGGUGUUCGGGUUGUCAUGCCAAUGGCACUGCCCGGUAGCUAAAUGCGGAAGAGAUAAGUGCUGAAAGCAUCUAAGCACGAAACUUGCCCCGAGAUGAGUUCUCCCUGAGACUUAGAGUCUCCUGAAGGAACGUUGAAGACGACGACGUUGAUAGGCCGGGUGUGUAAGCGCAGCGAUGCGUUGAGCUAACCGGUACUAAUGAACCGUGAGGCUUAACCUU